UCGUUCGUUGGGUUCGUUCGCUCUCGCACCGUUCGGCUCCGGUCGUGGAAGUCGAUGCUAAGGUCGGAGUGCUGUCGCGCGAGAAGGGAGUGCCGGGCGCCUGUCUCGCCGCCCUCCCGGUCCUCCCAGUGAUCCCGAAUUUCCUCGCGAGCACACGCGCUUGCCGCUCGAGGAUGACGCUCCCGAGUCCAGUCUCGCCCAUCUGGUACGCCCGACAUUAUUCGCGAACGAACACGUUGGAUCCUUGAUCGAAUCCACGAUUUGAAAAAAAAAAGAGGAAACAAUAAAUCGAGAGCCUCGUCCACGGAAAAUUCGUACCGCAUCGUUGUCGCGGAUGUUUAUGUGUCGCGACGAAGUGCGUCGUCUCUCAGUGGCAAUACACGAAGCUUCUAUCGAUUGCCAAGUGGAUUUAAACCGCUGCGUGUGUAAUUGCUAAUAGGAGCCUCCUUCAUUACUCUUUCGUCUAAUUGCACGGUAUAUUUCGUUGUGAGCGAAAAGAAUCUUUUUCUGUUUAUGGCAACGGACAGUCGCCUUCUCGAUUGAUCGGAGAUUGUCGCGUAAAACCAGCUCACACCUCGAAAGAUCCUCGGUGCGAGAAACGAGAGGGAUAUCCUUGACAUUAUGGCAAGACGCACAAGGAGCCGGUAGUUCGGUGGUUGGCAGGGAUGUCCUCGUGACAUGUUACCCCGUGACCUUGGCUGGCGCAACUACAACGUCCUCCGUGGAGAGGGUCGUCUUCUGGUGCGCGGGUCGAGCGGUAAUACGAACGGGCGAUCGGUGUCCUUUAAUCCGCGCGAGAUCGAGUAUCGCCUGCUGCCGCUGGUGCAUGUCAAGCCUGACUUCGUGAUUCCAUAUGUGCUCUGCUGGAGGGUGCCAGGCGCGAUCCACCGCAUCCAGAUUAAUCCGUCGGUCGUCCAUCAUCAUCACCAGCAGCAGCAGCAGCAGCAGCAACAUCAACGUCAACAACCGCAACAUCACUACCAACAGCACCGUCAGCGUCGACGACACUUCGAAGGAGCGCCGCGGACACGUCCUGCGCCACCGCCUUCGACGGAACAUCGUUUUGCGUACGGCGCGCAGCGUGACAUCCUUGCUGAUUCUGGUAUGGAAACAAGAGUGGAGCGUAUCGUAGCGAACAGAAAUGAGGACACGAGUUGCUGGUCCGAAAAAUGUCCUGCAUUCUGAAAACUGCAGCGGACAAUUUUGGCCUGCUUUGGGGGACCUUAUGGUCACGAACUGUGGCCUUCCUGUCUUAUACCAGUACUGGCAGUCAAACGUGCCACAGAUCGUGUCGAUUUCUGGAAAUCUUCGAAGAAAUCACUCGGAAUCAAUCAUGAGAAGGAAGAAUCUUUACCCUUGUUUAAGGAAUCGAUGGACUCAAAGCCGAUAAGAUGCGAAUUUCAACGUGAAUUAACCUUGCCUUAUUGCAUACGAACAAAGCUUGGUAUGUAUUAGAUUAGACGAUAACACACAUUGCAGAGUGUGAAUUUUAUAUUAGUCAUGCGUCCAUUGAGAAAUAUUC